CAUUAUGUAGCUUAAAUAAAGCAUUGGUCUCUUAAACCAAAUCAUAGUUAAUUACUCUUAAUGA
rnacentral:tRNA from 1 species